UACAUGGGGUGCAAACGUUGCUCGGAAUUAUUGGGCGUAAAGCGCGCGUAGGCGGUUACUUAAGUCGGAUGUGAAAGCCCUCGGCUUAACUGAGGAAGUGCAUCCGAAACUGAGUAGCUAGAGUACGAAAGAGGGUCGCGGAAUUCCCGGUGUAGAGGUGAAAUUCGUAGAUAUCGGGAGGAACACCGGUGGCGAAGGCGGCGACCUGGGUCGACACUGACGCUGAGGUGCGAAAGCGUGGGGAGCAAACAGG
rnacentral:rRNA from 1 species